rnacentral:rRNA from 1 species
AGUGAACGCUGGCGGUAGGCCUAACACAUGCAAGUCGAACGGCAGCACAGUAAGAGCUUGCUCUUACGGGUGGCGAGUGGCGGACGGGUGAGGAAUACAUCGGAAUCUACUUUUUCGUGGGGGAUAACGUAGGGAAACUUACGCUAAUACCGCAUACGACCUACGGGUGAAAGCAGGGGAUCUUCGGACCUUGCGCGAUUGAAUGAGCCGAUGUCGGAUUAGCUAGUUGGCGGGGUAAAGGCCCACCAAGGCGACGAUACGUAGCUGGUCUGAGAGGAUGAUCAGCCACGCUGGAACUGAGACACGGUCCAGACUCCUACGGGAGGCAGCAGUGGGGAAUAUUGGACAAUGGGCGCAAGCCUGAUCCAGCCAUACCGCGUGAGUGAAGAAGGCCUUCGGGUUGUAAAGCCCUUUUGUUGGGAAAGAAAAGCAGCAGGUUAAUACCCCGCUGUUCUGACGGUACCCAAAGAAUAAGCACCGGCUAACUUCGUG